rnacentral:lncRNA from 1 species
GUGGAUUGAACGACAGAGUCGGUCCUGGAUGUUCGCAGCUUUUUGCUUCAGCUGGCAGAGAAGAAAAAAGGUGGACACUGACCUGCGGCAGUGGCUUACUGUGAACGGGAAGAAAUAUCGGACACUGUUCUAGGUUUAUCUGUGCGUGCUGCGUCCUGAAAAGGCCUCUGAAACAAUCAGUAGACGUCUGGGAAGAGAAUUGAGGAAGUCGCGAGGUUUUUUCUUCUAGUAGUGUCGAGCACAUAACCCUUGGAUUCUUUUGUCCACAUGGCAUGGAAACAUAGCUAAAUUUAUGAAGUUCUGAAUAUUUCAGCUGCCAAAAUAAAGUACUUUCCUCUUUUUACAUGCAGUUUUUCUUCUUGGCAACAUUCUUUCUGAGUCAGAGGAAUAACCAGUUAUGUUAACUGGCUCCAGGUAAAAUGUGGCCUGAGUCACUGUGGAAACAUUGCUGAAAAGUUUCAUGGCAGAUUUUUUCCCCCCUUUUUUCAUUUUUUUCGAUUUUCUGACAUUGUCUUCUCUCAUUUUUCAGUGAGACCGAUUUUAUAGAUGAAGACUUUAACAGAUGUUCGUUUAUCUUAUUUUGUUUUGUAUUUUAUUUAAUAUUUUUGUUAAAAAAAUAUUCUUGCCAAUAAGCAGUAUGGAGGUAUCCAGGUAACUGUUUACAAAUGCCUUUGCUACCGGAAGGUAGGAAAUGUUCUACAGUUCACAUGAAAUUUCACAUGUGAAAUUUGGGUUUUUGGCCUCAGAGUUUGUGGAGUAAAACGUGUAUUUAUUUCACUUGGAGCUCAUGCUGCGUAUAGAGGAAUCUACAUGGAAUAGACAAAGGAAGAACCUGUCAGAGAAAAUAAAAGGUUGUUAAGACAGACAUUGGCAGACUUUGUAAAUAGCCUUGCAGGAUCUGUAAGCAAGAAGGAUGGGGAGCUGAUUUCUGUGAGGUCAAAUCUAUGUCAGACUGCUAUGAAUGUAGUAUCAACGGGAACUCGGGAUAUUAUCUCAAGGAAGACAAACUGGAAAACUAUAAAUCACGCAGUACUAACACCUUGUGUGGUCCUCUUGGAUUAGGCUAGAUAUUUUCUGAGUUGAUAUUUUGGGAUUGACUUACAUGUAUUUUUCUGUUCUAUAAUGGGAAUGAAUUAGUCUGCCUGGUCUGCAAGCAUAGCUCUUCAAAAAAAGGUCUGUCUCCUUGGAAUAAUUCAAAAUUAAAUAUAGUGGUAAAUUGUCUAAUCUUCCUUGUUAUUUUUAGAUGUAUUGUAGUUUCCUUUAUCCCACAGUGAUUAAAUAUUUUUCAAUUUUGGCAUUGACAUG